UUUCGAAUCAUUCACAAUGGGCGAAAGCCUGAUGGUGCGACGCCGCGUGAGGGAUGAAGGUCUUCGGAUCGUAAACCUCUGUCACCGGGGAAGAAACGCUAUACGUUAACAUCGGAUAGCCUGACUUAACCCGGAGAGGAAGCAGUGGCUAACUCUGUGCCACCACCCGCGGUAAUCCAGAGACUGCAAGCGUUAUUCGGAUUCACUGGGCGUAAAGGGUGCGCAGGCGGCCGUGUGUGUGAGGUGUGAAAUCCCGGAGCUUAACUCCGGAACUGCGCCUCAAACUACAUGGCUAGAGCAUUGGAGAGGGAAGUGGAAUUCACGGUGUAGCAGUGAAAUGCGUAGAUAUCGUGAGGAACACCAGAGGCGAAGGCGACUUCCUGGACAAUUGCUGACGCUCAGGCACGAAAGCGUGGGGAGCAAAAGGGAUU
rnacentral:rRNA from 1 species